UACGUAGGUGGCAAGCGUUAUCCGGAUUUAUUGGGCGUAAAGGGGACGCAGGCAGUCUUUUAAGUCUGAUGUGAAAGCCUUCGGCUUAACCGGAGUAGUGCAUUGGAAACUGGGAGACUUGAGUGCAGAAGAGGAGAGUGGAACUCCAUGUGUAGCGGUGAAAUGCGUAGAUAUAUGGAAGAACACCAGUGGCGAAAGCGGCUCUCUGGUCUGUAACUGACGCUGAGGUUCGAAAGCGUGGGUAGCAAACAGG
rnacentral:rRNA from 1 species